rnacentral:lncRNA from 1 species
UUUUAUAUUUUAGAUAUGCGUCUCUUGCUUUUAAAAAAAACAGUGAUGCAAAGAUGGCUGUGAAAGAAAUGAAUGGAAUGGAAAUAAAUGGAAAAUCAGUAAAUGUGAGGCUUGUUAAAACUCCUGGAGAAUAUACAUCACCACUUGCCUCCAAAAAUGGGAAUAAAGUUGGUUUGAAUAAUUUGGAGAAAAACACCAACAAAGAAAUGAAUGCCUCCUGCAUUUCUAAAUUGCCCAGAACUAGGCCACGGCAGCUGGGAUCUGAGCAAGACAGUGAGUUUUCCCCUUCGGACCAGAAGGUUAGUUAUUAAUUGGCCCACAAAUGGUCUCAUACAUGCCUUAUUGCUGUAAAUACCUUUGUACAAUAAACAAUUACAGUAUUGACAAUCUGGAAUUGUUGGAAGGAGAGCAUCAUCAAACUAAAUUGUUUUAAAUCUUGACUCCACCUAACCUGUUUUUAUACAGCUCCAGUUGCUCUGUGGGGGUGGAGCAGGAGUGGAGUGGUUUAUAGAUCUAACCAAAGAAAAAACUCAUUCUUUUUAACUAGGCUCUUGGACAGUCCUUUGCAGAUCUUAUCUCCCUAUUUCUAAAUAGUACUAAUUUACAAGUAACUAAUUACACUUUUAUCAUCCUUUUUUUUCCACAGCUAGACUUAUCUCACAAUUCUUAAAACCAUAAAAUGUAGUCAUUUUAUAAUCAUAUGCCCUCACUUUUACUUCAUCAAGGUCUCAAACACCACAUGGAAAGUGAUAAAGUUUGCUUGUUCGCUUUCAUCUCUCCACUGCCCAGCAAAAUUCCUGGUGCCCUAAUUACAGUAAAAUUUACUUUUUCUUGUCCAUGACUUUAGACAAAUGCAUAUCAAUAAAUAUCCACCACCAUAAUCAAAAUAACAAACAUUCCCAUCAUUCAAAAACAAUUCUUUCAUUUUCUGAUUUGUUUGCUUUGCUCAGCUGUGUCCUUUAUUCUGUCCUUUCCUGAUUCUUAAAAUUCUCCCAUUCCUUCUCUAUACCAUUAGUGAUUCUCAUUUUCACUGAAACCUUUUCUUUCCACUUGUAGUCACCUAAAACCAUUCCUAAUCCUGAUAGGAUUUUCACUUGACUGCAUUUCUUUGAAUUUACCAUCCUUAUUUGUGCAGUUUUCAUUGCUAGACUUCUCAAUGAAGUAGUUUUUUGCCUCCAUUUAUUUGAUUGCCUAUCUCCUUUAUCCUAAUACUCUAAAUUCAAUCUCAGAAAUUUUACUUGAACUGUUCUUUCCAUUGUCACCAACAACCUUUUUACUGAUCUUUCCUAAUAUGCCUUCUUGAGCACUUGGCCUCUGGUCAUCACUUUUUAAAACACCUUUCCUUUCAUCUCACACCUCCUGGUUAGGAUGGAUUUGGGGGUACAUAGUUUCAAUCCAUAGCAGGAAGGAAAGUAAACCUGGGUUAUAUUGGGACUGUGACUCUUGCCCUCCUCUCUCCUUUGGUCCAUAUCUUUCCAGGGAAUCUGGGCUCCUUCUCCUUCUCUGUGCAUGAUGUUUUCUCUGCUCAUGACUGCUUUUUUUUUUCCCACUUGGCUUUGUUUUGCUUAAUUUUAACUGCAGUAUUUUCAUUCAGGCACCUGUGAUUAUUUGACUAAUUUGUUUGUUUCAUGUUCCAGUUUUAUGUUUUUUAGACAGAUAAUUCCACUGACCCAGCCUGUGAUUUUGGUGUUCAUUAGUUCAGGAGAGACUACAGUCUUGGUCCAGUGAGCUAGGCCAUGGGGUUGGCUGUGGGUAGGAGUAUGUGUAUAGUGAAGUUCCUUUUACCAUCUUUGUUAGACUAUAAUAAGGUUUUUUUCUUCUUUAUCUUUCUAAGCAGUUUCUUGGCCCUUUUUGCUUUUUAUCAUAUUUUCAACAUUUAUUCAUUCUAUUCAUUAAUUUAGGGUGUUAAGAAGAAUUGUAAACAGAUUGAAUCUGCUCAUUUAUUACCUGAGACACCUAUUCAAUUUAUACCUCCAAAUACAUUGAACCUUCGUAGUUUUACCAAGAUCAUGAAGAGACUGGCUGAACUGCAUCCAGAUGUCAGCAGGUAGUAACUAAAAUUAUAUUUUAACAGACAAUAUAAGUAAAAAAUAGUUAAGUUCUAUAACUUAGUCAUAUUCAGAAUGCAUUACUUUGGGAAAAAAAUGCCCAUGAAUGUUUUCUUUUUGCAUAGAGACCAUAUUAUAGAUGCUCUUCAGGAAGUAAGAGUAAAUCAUAACGGUUUCCUGAAUGGCUUAUCUAUUAGUACUAUUGUGGAAAUGACUUCAUCUGUUCUGAAAAACUCUGCUUCCAGUUAGGAAUAAACAAAGCAAUAAAGAGGUAAAGUAACCAUUUUCUUUGAU